rnacentral:rRNA from 1 species
UACAGAGGGUGCAAGCGUUGUUCGGAAUUAUUGGGCGUAAAGGGCGCGUAGGCGGCCGCGUAUGUCCGGUGUGAAAGCCCACCUCUUAAAGGUGGAAUUGCAUCGGAAACUACGUGGCUGGAGUGUCGGAGAGGAUGGUGGAAUUCCUGGUGUAGAGGUGAAAUUUGUAGAUAUCAGGAGGAACACCGGUGGCGAAGGCGGCCAUCUGGACGACUACUGACGCUGAGGCGCGAAAGCGUGGGGAUCAAACAGG